rnacentral:tRNA from 1 species
GGGGAUUUAGCUCAGUGGUAGAGCGCUUGCCUAGCAAGCGCAAGGCCCUGGGUUCAGUCCCAGCUCCG